ensembl:lncRNA
UCAGAGUUCAAGUUAGUGAAAAAAAAAAUUUUUCUCCUUCACUGCAUACCAGAUAGAUGACACCCCUUAGUCCAGUUAUUCUGAUUAUUCACUAAAUGCACAAAUUACACAUCAGGCAGUGUGCAUUUUUGUCCUCUUUCACUUGAUGUUGCUCUUGUGUUGCACACUACUGUCAUGUCUGCUUUUCUUUUUCCUGUAUCCUCUGAUAUCAGGUCCAUUAAGCUGUAAAUCAUAUAACCACCACCCGUUCAUAUUCCUACCCUUACAAACCAUACUUCAUCCUACAACUUCUAUUCAAAUUUUAAUGACCCACUACCUCCACAUAGCUGCUUUUAAGUUUCACCUGACUCUUCGCACAUCUUCAUACACACACAACUGUUGCAACAGUUAUUGACAUGUAUGCCAUUACAAAUAUGUUGCAAGAUUUCCUCUCUCCUGCCAAGAAAACCUAUAAUAUACCCCUGUUGUUCCCCCUUUAAUGCAUCAGAUUGUGUUCGGAUUAAGUUGAUAUAUUUUCUGCGCUCAUGGCCUUAAGCUCCAGGAACAUUAAUGUUACAAGCUUUGUUAUAAGAGCUAUAACCUGAAUUACAUCAGCUUUGAUAACUCACACAACAAGCAUCUUUCACAUAUUCACAUCCAGCACAAAGGUCAAAAUCCUUUAAAAUUCCAAGACAAAACAGUAGCUCUAAGGGGGGUGGUGAAAAACUAAGAAAAAAAAAAAAGAAGAAGAAGAAGAAGGGAACUGAAUCUAUCAGCCUCGUCAUCUCAUCUUGAAACACACAGCACCUGCCUUUGAGCUCAGCAUUCAUAAGACACAAGAAAGACGACAUGCCGGAGUAAUGUCUACCUGACAGAAUGCCCUCAGGCCUCUGCGGUGUCUGAAAGUGUAGAGAAAGAAAUAAAGCAGAGAGCGAAUAGAAGCAUUCUUUGGCUCAAAAAGUCAAGUUACUCUAAGAAGCCAGACAGUGGGAUAAAACAAUUUUUUUUUCCAUUUAGUGUUUCUGACAUGGCUCCUGGAUGACACGUGCAUUUGCUUUACUUCAGUUUGCUUCAGACAAAAUGGAAAGUUUGACUGCGAAGCCCAAUUUAGGCCUUCAGGCCGGUGCAGAGGUCUGCAAUUCCCCUGUGAACCCCAGUAGUGAAGCAACAUUACAGUGUAAACCAGCUGUGGUUUUAUAGUCCCGUGGUUUUAUAUCUACC